rnacentral:tRNA from 1 species
GCGCCUGUAGCUUAACAGGAUAAAGCGUCGGACUACGAAUCCGCAGAUGGGGGUUCAAGUCCCUCCAGGCGCG